rnacentral:rRNA from 1 species
CAGUCGAGGGGCAGCGGAGAGGUAGCAAUACCUUUGCCGGCGACCGGCGCACGGGUGAGUAACACGUAUGCAAUCCACCUGUAACAGGGGGAUAACCCGGAGAAAUCCGGACUAAUACCCCAUAAUAUGGGUUCUCCGCAUGGAGGGUCCAUUAAAGAGAGCAAUUUUGGUUACAGACGAGCAUGCGCUCCAUUAGCCAGUUGGCGGGGUAACGGCCCACCAAAGCGACGAUGGAUAGGGGUUCUGAGAGGAAGGUCCCCCACAUUGGAACUGAGACACGGUCCAAACUCCUACGGGAGGCAGCAGUGAGGAAUAUUGGUCAAUGGUCGGCAGACUGAACCAGCCAAGUCGCGUGAGGGAAGACGGCCCUACGGGUUGUAAACCUCUUUUGUCGGAGAGUAAAGUACGCUACGUGUAGCGUAUUGCAAGUAUCCGAAGAAAAAGCAUCGGCUAACUCCGUGCCAGCAGCCGCGGUAAUACGGAGGAUGCAAGCGUUAUCCGGAUUUAUUGGGUUUAGAGGGUGCGUAGGCGGCACGCCAAGUCAGCGGUGAAAUUUCCGGGCUCAACCCGGACUGUGCCGUUGAAACUGGCGAGCUAGAGUGCACAAGAGGCAGGCGGAAUGCGUGGUGUAGCGGUGAAAUGCAUAGAUAUCACGCAGAACCCCGAUUGCGAAGGCAGCCUGCUAGGGUGCGACAGACGCUGAGGCACGAAAGCGUGGGUAUCGAACAGGAUUAGAUACCCUGGUA